AUAAUAUGAGUAAGUUCUGGUAAAUUCUAAGGAAAAUUUAUAAAACAGUAUUUGUAAUAUCAUUAUUUUCUUGUACUUUCCAAUGUAGGGAGUUGACCAAUGCGGCUUUUGAACUGCUCGUAUUUUUGUCAAACGUGUUAUAUGUAUGCUCCUCUUGGAAAGAGUUUGAAACCUUUUUCAAACAAAGUCAUCGUUUAAACGAAAAAGGAGCACAAAGUAAUUUUUACGGAAUUCUAAAGCAUGCACUACCUUAUCACCUUGAAAACUUUUAAUUAACACAAGAGCAGCAAAACCAUGGCGACAAAAAGAAAAAGUUCAUCGUGGCUAGAGUCAAUCUGUGAGGAGAAGUAAAAAACUGUAACUGGAACGGUGGAUUCAAUCAGCCAUUUUUUCGCACAACGAAAACGAGCUUCGUUUAAUCCCGGUGGACCAGUUUUCUCCAGAGACAAUUAACGUAACCUCGCCGCCGGAAAUUGAAAGCGACGAACACGGAAGCGAACUCACAAGGCGAGGUUGUUGCAAGGUUUCGUUAUGUGGCUUACCGCGGUUAUCAGUAAUUCGGUUAGUUUCUGUAUUUUAUUUUUCAUCGUGAGUUUCGUCGUAUAGUUACGCGAAACGUCACGGUAAUUAAAAGUGCCACGAAAAUACUCGAGAAACAUACAAAUUUUU
rnacentral:misc_RNA from 1 species